AUCAAGAUUCUGAGAUGACAAACUCUUGGCAUUUAGAAUGGUGGCUAGUAAAACUGAGGGAUAUUAGAGAUUAAGUCAGAGAAUACCAGGAAAUUGACUUAGGGAUAGGUAAGUCCCAUUCACAGAGAACUCAGUGUACCUGUUAUGGAAUUUAACAUUUUAGAGAUUUUAUUUUUAGUGUUGAGGAAAAAAGAAACACUAAAAUACGUUCAAGUUGAUCUUCCAUCAAGCAUUUACCUUUGUCUGGUUUUGUUCUUAAAAUUCAGGGUUCUAGUCGUCUACCCAGAUCUUCCACCUUUCGCAAAAAUUAACUUGAAAUGGAUCAUAUAUCUAUGUGUGAAAUAAAGAACUUUAAAAUUUCUAGAAGAAAAUAGAGGGAAAAACUCUGUAUGACCUUAGGUUCAGUGAUGAGUCUUUUUGUUUUUGUUUUUAAUUGAGGUACAGUUGACACACAAUGUUAUAUUGGUUUCAGGUAUGGAACAUAGUGAUUUGACAUUUGUAUACAUUGUGAAAUGGCCACCACAAUAAGUAUGGAUACCAUCUGUCACCUUGCAAAGCUAAUACAAUAUUAUUGACUAUAUUUCUCAUGCUGUAUAUUACAUCCCCAUGACUAAUUUAUUUUAUAACUAGAAGUUUAUAUUUCAUCUUCCUACCUACUCUAUGACAUUCCCAACCCAUCUCCCCUCUGGCAACCACCAAUCUGCCCUCUUAUCUAUUAGUCUAUAUUUUGUUAUGGAAUUUGUUUGUUUUCUUUUUUAGAUUCCACUUGUAAGUGAAAUCAUGUGGUAUUUCUUUCUCUGUCUGACUUAUUUCACUCUACAUAAUACCAUGUCCUCACAGAUGACAAGAUUUCAUUCUUUUUUAUAGCUGGGUAGUGUUCCAUUGUGAAUAAAUAUGUAUAUUUAUUCCUGUCAGUGGACACAGGUGGGUUCCAUAUCUUGGCUAUUGUAAAUAAUGCAGCAAUGAAUAUAGAGGUGCUUGUAUCUUUUGAAUUAGUGUUUUCUUUUUUUUUUUUUUUUUUGGUAUAGAUAUCCAGCAGUAGAAUUGCAAGAUCAUAUGGUGGCUCUGUGUUUCGUUUUUUGAGGCAAUGCCAUACUGUUUUCCGCAGCAGCUAUACCAAUUUACUUUCCCAGCAACGUGGCAGAACCAUUCCCUUUUCUCCACAUUCUUGCAGAACUUGUUAUUUCUUGUCUUUUUGAUAAUAGCCAUUCUGAAAGAUGGGAGUUAAUAUUUCACUGUGGUCUUGGUCUGCAUUUCCCUGAUGAUUGAUGAUGUUGAGCAUCUUUCCAUGUGUCUAUAGGCCAUCUGUAUGUCUUCUUUGGAAAAAUGUCUAUUCAGGUCCUCUGCCCAUUGUAAUCUAGUUGCUUGAUUUUUUUGUGUUGUAUGAGCUCUUGUAUAUUUUGGAUAUUAACCACUUAUCAGAUGUAUCAUUUGCAAAUAUCUACUCCCAUUCAGUAGGCAGCCUUUUCAUUUUGUUGAUAGAUUCCCUUGCUGUGUAAAUCUUUUUUGUUUUCUGUGGUCCCUUUUGUUUAUUAUUGGUUUUGUUUCUCUCACCUUUGCAGUCAGAUCCAAAAAAAUCACUGCCCAGUCUGAAGUCAAGGAACUUACUGCCUGCACUUUCUUUUAAGAGUUUUAUAGCUUCAGUACUUACUUAAAUCCAUGUUGAGUUAAUUUUUGAAUAUGGUAUAGAACAGUGAUCCAGUUAUUGUGUUCUUCAGCUCUGUCAUGUCUCUUUGGGGCUUUCUAGUGUUUUCUCUUUGUUGAAGUUUUCACUAUGUUCUUUUAUACUGUGUUGUAGGGAGCAUUUAUCUCAUCUUCAGACCUUUUUCAGGAGGAAAUGAUUCUUAUGUAGCUGUAGAUUUAGUAUGUCCAUAUGAGGAGGUGAGCUCAGAGUCUUCCUUGAUCUCCGUCUUGGACUCCUACUGAUGAGCUUUAGAAACAACCCAUGGUUCAUGAAAGACAAAAAAUGGAUAUGUUGAACUUUAUUAAAAUAGAAACUUCUUGUUGGUAAAGGAUACUAUUAAGAUAAUAAAAAUUCAAGUCACAGACUUUAUUUUUAUCUAAAGCAUACCCCAAAUCCUUAAAACUCAAUAAUAAGAAAACGAAGAACUCGGUUGAAAAUUUUCUGUGGUUCCAAACUACACUAAACUACACUAACAUAAAGCAUUUGUUUAAAAAUCUCAUGGUUGUAGUUUCAUAUUUUUCUUCCAAAUUUUUUGUUUGUUUUUUGUCUUUUUAGGGCCAUACCUCCUGGGAACCCCCAUAUGCUGCGAGAGUGGCACAAGAAAUGGCAAAAAGCCAAAAAAAAAAAAAAAAAAAGGAAAAAAAAGAAAAGAAAACAAAGGUGGAGUUGCCAUUGUGGCUCAUGGGAACAAACACGACUGGUAUUCAUGAGGAUGCAUGCUCAAUACCUGGUCCCACUCAUUGGGUUAAGCAUCCGGCGUUGCCCUGAGCUACAGCAUAGGUGUAGGUUGCAGAUGCGGCUCAGAUCUGCUAUUGCUGUGGCUGUGGCAUAGGCCGGCAGCUGCAAUUUGAUCCCUAGUCUGGGAGCUUCCAUAUGUCUUACCUGCAGCCCUGCAAAUAAAAAAAAAAA
rnacentral:lncRNA from 1 species